AGAGUUUGAUCCUGGCUCAGAACGAACGCUGGCGGCGCGUCUUAAGCAUGCAAGUCGGGCGGGAUCCAUGCGCUUGCGCACGGUGAGAGCGGCGGACUGGCGAGUAACACGUGGGCGACGCGCCCUCCGGACGGGAAUAGCCUGUAGAAAUACAGGGUAAUGCCGGAUGCGAACGCGCGCGCUGGAGGCGCGCGUGGAAAGCCCCCACGGGGGCGCCGGAGGAGCGGCCCGCGGCCCAUCAGCUUGUAGGCGGUGCAAGGGACCACCUAGGCUACGACGGGUACCCGGCCUCAGAGGGCGGACGGGCGCAUUGGGACUGAGAUACGGCCCAGACUCCUACGGGAGGCAGCAGCUAAGAAUAUUCCGCAAUGGGGGGAACCCUGACGGAGCGACGCCGCGUGGGCGAGGAAGGCCGGAAGGUUGUAAAGCCCUUUUGCGCGCGAGGAAUAAGGGGAGGAGGGAAUGCCUUCCCGGUGACUGUAGCGCGCGAAUAAGCGCCGGCUAAUUACGUGCCAGCAGCCGCGGCAACACGUAAGGCGCGAGCGUUGUUCGGAAUCAUUGGGCGUAAAGGGCGUGUAGGCGGCCCUGCAAGCCUGGCGUGAAAUCCCGGGGCUCAACCCCGGAACCGCGCUGGGAACUGCUGGGCUGGAGCCGCUGUGGCGCAGCCGGAAUUCCAGGUGUAGGGGUGAAAUCUGUAGAUAUCUGGAAGAACACCGAUGGCGAAGGCAGGCUGCGAGCGGACGGCUGACGCUGAGGCGCGAAGGCGCGGGGAGCGAACAGGAUUAGAUACCCUGGUAGUCCGCGCAGUAAACGAUGCACACUGGGUGUCCGGG
rnacentral:rRNA from 1 species